rnacentral:rRNA from 1 species
GCUGAUACACGCAAGCAAGUGUCUGUCAUGCGAUGUGGGGUUGGCUCUGCCUUCACCACGCUGAUAGACUGCUAGCAGCCUUUGAAAGACCAGCGCCAGCAAUGGCAGUGUUCAAUGGAUGAAUCUGGCUGUUCCUACUGGACAAUGCUCUGGCAGAUAAGCCCUGCUUCGGCAGGCAUGCUUGAUCGCAUGAACUUCUGACCUAUCAGCUUGGACUGUGCUGUAGUGGACCACGUGGCCUUGACGGGUAACGGAGAAUCAGGGUUCGAUUCCGGAGAGGGAGCCUGAGAAAUGGCUACCACUACCAAGGUGGGCAGCAGGCGCGCAAAUUGCCCAAUACAAAGCCAGCUUGUGAGGCAGCAACGAACUGCAGCAAACAUGCCCACUUCUGUGGGUUUGUCUUGGAAUGGAUGCUAUCCAAACACAGCCAUGAGCAACAAGUGGAGGGCAAGUCUGGUGCCAGCAGCUGCGGUAAUUCCAGCUCCAUUGGUGUAUACUAACAUUGCUGCUGUUAAAACACUCGUAGUCUGCCACUGGGAUGCAGGUCUGGCGGAUGGCUGGCUGGCCGGGUUCGCUCGGUUGGCUGGAUACAACCUUCGUCAGUAUGUUCCUGCUCCCAAGUCAAGGAUGCUGAAAGGCUCCUGCAUGAAGUCUCCUUCAGUGAAGGCCAAAGCUAUCUUGCAGUGAACGCUUGCUUGGGACAACAGAUGGAGCCUUGUGCUUCCUGAGUAUCUGCCCAUAACCGGAGUACAGCAUCAGAGCAACCCUGGUAAACUCAGCGUGCUUCAAGCAACCUUUAAUGGCUUGUAUGCCAUCCAGUGAAUUGCACAGCAACGAUCGGACUUGGCUAUGAGUUGUGCUGGCCUUGGUGCCAAAUCUGAGCAAUCUGGGGCAUAUCCCUGACUGGUUCCGAGCCUCGGCAAGGUCCAGUCCAGGUGGUGUGUUUCCAACCGGAUAUGAUGGAAGCGUUCCAAGUGGAGGAUACUGCAGCGCCAGAGGUGAAAUUCUUAGACCGCUGCAUGAUCAACUGCAGCAAAGGCGCUCUGCAAGUGCAUGUUCGUCGAUCAAGAAUGAGAGCCUGGGGAGCAAAGAUGAUCAGACACCGUCGUAGUCCAGUGCAGUAAACCAUGCCAGCAAGGCUUUGGUGAAGCAAGAUUACCUACUCCAUCAGUGCCAUGCCCCCUACAACGAGAAAUCCACAGC